rnacentral:lncRNA from 1 species
UAGUAUCGUAAUUAUGAUUAAAUUAAGUUUAAUUAUAAUAAAUUAUAAUGUACUAACAAAAAUUUGUUACUUAAAAAGUAAUGAUAAUAUGCCAAAAACCCGACUAAGGUUUUUAGAUUAAAAAUUUAAUAUCUUCCCGAAAGUUCUGCCAACGGCUAAACCUCCCCCCUCCCCCCCUCUCUUCAAACAUCGAACGGUUCUUCGUGCCGCCAGAACCAGGGAGAAACAGUCACUCUACGAUCAAGCACCUUCUAUAUCUAUUAUGGUGAAUGUUAAUAAGCAGGUAUCUCUCUCUCAGUUUUCAGUUAUCAUCCCUUUGUUUGGCUGCCGAUAAACUGAAGGAAAAUGAAGAGAAGAGAUCUGAAAAAGGGUAUGUUUUUUGUCUCUCUGUUUCGUUUCUCCCCUCUGGCAUUUCUUCACAACCGAAAAGGCUUAGUUGUUGAGCUUGCGUAAAUUGAUAUUAUUUGUUGAUGGUUUCGUUUGUCUUACAUACAUUUAAGGUGUAAUAUGUAAAUUUCUUGCUAUUUGUGAAAGAUGGUACAUCCUCCAAUGAACUCAACUUAGAGCUAGGGUUUUGGCACUUUUUGUUAUCAUAUUAUUUAGGUGUUUUCAUUUGAAAACAAGGAUAAAACUGAUUUGGAUUUAGUUUACUUUAGCUUCCGCUUUCGUUGUUCAAGACGGCGCAAGGGCAUCCAUGGCAAUUACUCUCGUUCCUUUUAUUUAUAAUAUGUUUGGUUGCUGGGAAAAUGUUAGAGAACAAUAUGAGAGAGUUGAGUUUAUGAAAUUAUAGCUAACGACUUUACUUGAGAUUGGUGGAACAAUUUACUUUUUUGGGUCCUUGAUGGAACAGUUGCUUGCAUAUACAUACGUAAUAUUUUGAAGUGGAUUUCAUUUGUUUGGUUGUUUGAAGUGGAAGCUAGGAUCUAGUAAAUGGUCAAUUUUGUUUUUUUUUUCUCUUGUUUUGUUUGUUUUUUCUCUCGAAGUGGAAGCUAGGAUCUAGUAGGGACUUUACUUGAGUUGUUUUUNN